rnacentral:rRNA from 1 species
GAUGAACGCUAGCGAUAGGCUUAACACAUGCAAGUCGAGGGGCAGCAUGGUCUUAGCUUGCUAAGACUGAUGGCGACCGGCGCACGGGUGCAUAACGCGUAUGCAACUUGCCUCACAGAGGGGGAUAACCCGUCGAAAGACGGACUAAUACCGCGUACACUCCAGCUUGGGCAUCCAAGCUAGAGGAAAUGAAAUUCGCUGUGAGAUAGGCAUGCGUCCCAUUAGCUAGUUGGUGAGGUAACGGCUCACCAAGGCGACGAUGGGUAGGGGAACUGAGAGGUUGAACCCCCACACUGGUACUGAGACACGAACCAGACUCCUACGGGAGGCAGCAUUGAUGAAUAUUGUUCAAUGUGCUAUAGCCUGAUCCAGCCUGUUCGCUGGAAGGAUGAUUUGUUAUGUAUUGGAUCUUCUUUUAUGCUUUAAUAACAAGAGUCACGUUUGACUCCCUUCUUGUUUGUUAUGUGUAAGGAUCGGUGUUCUCUUGUUAUUGUCUGUGUGUUGCGGGGGUGUCUUCGUUUUCCUGAUUUUUUGGGGUUGAGGUUGGCUUAUGGUGUGUUGUUAAUUGUGUGGUUGAUUGUUGGAUGUGAUGCCUUAUGUUGCUGAUGUGUACCUGGCGGGUCUGUGUGUAGAUGUGUUGUGAUGAUCUGGUUGUGUUA